CAAAGCUUAUUCGUACUCUUAUUUUAAAUUUCCUCACCAUUAAUUAACCCUUCAACAAUACUGAGUAAUUCUAUACUGCUAUAGAAAUUUUUAUGUUAAAACUAGUAACAAGAAGAAGCCCUUCUCUUAAAUGCGCCCGUAAAUCAGAAAGGACCCCCCACUGAUAAUUAACGCCUAUGACCCUAAAGUAAAAACUUAUCUAGAAAAACUUACUAAACGCGCCGUAAACCUAACACAAGAGCAUUUCAAGAAAGAUUAAAAGAAAAAGAAGGAACUCGGCAAAUAUUAGCCCCGCCUGUUUACCAAAAACAUCGCCUCUUGAAAAACAUAAGAGGUCCAGCCUGCCCAGUGACACUGUUCAACGGCCGCGGUAUC
rnacentral:rRNA from 1 species